AUCUUUGCGCUUGGGGCAAUGACGCAGCUAGUGAGGUUGUACCGAGGCGCGUCAAUUGCUAGUUGAAAACUAUUUCUAAACCCCCUCUUUGGCCCUUCAGGGCCACUGAGAAUUUUUGGAAGGGCUACCUCUCCUUUGGGCGAGGUUAAAGCC
rnacentral:snRNA from 3 species